UGGUUUAUGGACUCAGUUCGUAUAAUAUCAAAUGUAUCUGAAUGAAAACGCUUCAGUUCAGUACGUGCUCUCUUGACGUCCAAACGUGUGAGUGUGUGUCCGGUUGUGGAUCGAUCGAUUGGUUGUAUUCAACUUCUGAAGUUCUGAGUAUUUCAAUGGGGUGACUUGUGAAAUUUAGUUUUACUCCUGAACCCGGGACAAAAAAGGGAAUACAAUUCAAUACAAUAAAUUCCGUUCCUUUUUUUUAUCAAAAAGACAAUAA